rnacentral:lncRNA from 1 species
GACAGCCCAUCGGAAGCAAGCCUCCCCAGAAGUCCACUAUGAAAAAGUCAGUGGAGACUCAACAGAGGAGAGAAGAAACACAUCUGAUUCUGUACCACAGUCUUCUGUGCUGCUUCCCCUGUUCUAGACAUCUGGCCCUGAGUUGUCACUGCUUUUCCAUGCACCCCACUAUGAUGGACCCAGUCACAGUGCAUGAUGAUGGAGCUGCCCCCAGGAGAGAAAAGCAAUGUCUAGGGCAAAGGCACGAACUCUGAAACCAGCUAUACCUGGAUACACAGGGUUCACCUGGCUACUGUGUGACUUUGGAUGCAUCUCUCAACUUCAGCAAAAUGUGCCUUCCCUUUGGGAAGUAUACAUGAAGAUAACUACAACCUCGUUGACUUAUGAUCUAAGACUGUCAUAUCACAUCAAAAUCCCCGG